rnacentral:lncRNA from 1 species
GCUGUCCUUCAUUUUAUCCACGCUUGAGCAGCUGUAACAUCAACAAUGUCUCGCAAGCAGUCCCGAUGCUCUGUGUUUGGAUGCAAGACUGAACGUAGCAAACCGAUUGCCCUUUCUGGCAGCCGUCCGACAGCAUGUGGAGAUAUGGAACCCUUCCCAAAUCUGCACACACUGAGGGCAAGAGAAAGACAGAAGGCAAAUGAUACAGACUGGCUUUUCACCUCAGGUCACUUCUUCUAGCCUUUGGUCAGUGAUGGCGAAAACGCUUCUCUCGUUACAGAUCCCCCACACGAGAAGAAAGGGCAAAUAAACAUCAACUACUGAGGUGAAAAAGCCCUGGUACUCAUAUAUCUACAAAGAAAUUAAUUUGUAUUUGUUUGUAGCUUAUACGGACACUCAGACCCUGCCCAAAUUUAUCACUGGUGGUGUUUUUUUUUUUAAUAAAGCACUAUUUUCAUUUUUGUUCAGUAUCCAUUUAAAAAACUAUUGGUUCAUUAAUUGGUAUCCAACCAAGAUAUCGGUAUCGGCAAUAUCCGCUAUCGGUCGACCUCUAAAAUUUACCCAGUGUGGGUCAAUCUGGAAGCCGAAAACCCGGAAGUGUGAAAUUGGCAUAUGAGCAGUCUGAACUUAUUUACCCUUCACAUUUUUUAUUUUGGUCGUGCAUGCGCACCACCUACAGUAUGUGCACCCCUGAUUAUAUUACAUUAAUUCCUCCAUAACCAAAAAAUUUGGCAACUAAAGUUUUUCAAAAGUUUGUGUAUGUGUUGUGUAGACAACAAAUCAAUGUAGCAUUUCCAAACAAAAAUAAUUAUCAAAUAAUGUGUGUAAAUAAUUUAAUGUUGUUUAUUUUGGAUACAUAAAAUGUUACUUAUGAAAUUAGCCUAACAAGACAAAGAAGUCAGACAUUUAAUUGUAAAUAAAAUUUAAAUGCUGUUUCCAUCACAGUCGUUCCCACCACAAAAUGUUAUUAAACACAAAACGCCAUUUGAGAUGUGGUGGAAAAUUAUGCUGUGGUAGAAAUGUUCAUGAAUUUCUGAGAAACGCAUGUACUGUAUAUCCACUGUUGGACACUGUCUGCAGACAAGUAAACUAGUGAGAGUGUGUUUCAAAAAAGUUUAUUUUCUAAAUGUCCAAAAGUACCCAUAGUUGGAGAAACACCCAUUCACAGACUGAAUUCUAACAUCUUAUAACCUCGACUAAAGGUCUUUAAUGAGAGAGCGCAGUACUAAAACAAAACUUUCUGGUCUAUUGCUUCGCAAAUGAAUGUUAAGCAAUAAAUACAAUUUUUUCCAUAUUUAUGGAACCCUCUAACUAUGCUAAAUGAAUGCCAAACAGUCUGUUGAAAACCCGUUCCCAAGGACGUUAUCUAAACACUGGAUUAAAUAAGUGUGCGUGGUAUUCUGCAUCUACUCAGUGAAGACUUUCGGUGGCUCCCUACCAGAACAUCACUUAAUACUGAGUCAUUGUGAUUAUGCUCUGGCCAUAAUCCAGUAAUAUAAUAUUUUGCUUUAGCUGUGAGUCACAUAAUAAUCCCUUUCUCCAUUUUUUUGGAAACACAAAAGUUUAAAUAUAACACUUGAUCUCAACACACUGUAAAAUGUAUCUUCUGGAAGUUGUACGACAUUCAAU